UCGGUCCCUAUCUGCCGUGGGCGCUGGAGAAUUGAGGGGGGCUGCUCCUAGUACGAGAGGACCGGAGUGGACGCAUCACUGGUGUUCGGGUUGUCAUGCCAAUGGCAUUGCCCGGUAGCUACAUGCGGAAGAGAUAAGUGCUGAAAGCAUCUAAGCACGAAACUUGCCCCGAGAUGAGUUCUCCCUGAGACUUAGAGUCUCCUGAAGGAACGUUGAAGACGACGACGUUGAUAGGCCGGGUGUGUAAGCGCAGCGAUGCGUUGAGCUAACCGGUACUAAUGAACCGUGAGGCUUAACCUU
rnacentral:rRNA from 1 species